rnacentral:tRNA from 1 species
GCUCCCAUCUUCUAAACGGAUUAGGAAACCACCCUUUCAAGGUGAGAAAUGCGGGUUCGAAUCCCGCUGGGAGCG